AGUUAGAUGACACCACGUUGCAAUUGAAUGCAGUUUAAGAUAAAUGUGAUGCUUCUCAAAAGCUAUUAGCACAAAAGAAGCGAGAAAUAAGAGGAAGACGAAAGUGCUAAACUUUGUGCGUACUGUACAUUGUCCAGAUUCUUGUGCAGGACACAUCAACACAUACCAAGGCCAGUGAUGCUACUUGGUUCCUGGCUGUUGGAACAACAGUCGGAGUUGUUGGAGUCACCUGAGGCCAAGUGUGAAAGAUCAACGUGAAAAGAUGUCACAUCUUCACACCAUUCACAACCGAAGUCUGUGUCACACACGGAGCAGCCUGUAGCAGGUCUCAAGGUCCCAGCGUGCUGUGCAGCAAAGUGGAGAAUUCCAGCAGGCCGCUCUCAUUUCAGUCACAUUUCUUGCUAUGGC